GUUCCCCAUAGACCCAGGUGCCACUGCCAGUGGGGAUGCAGUGGGAGCCACCAAAAAGAACUGCUCUGCAGCUGUCUGUGAGCUUCCCUCAUCCUCACCUGGCAGCACUGCCCUGCAACAAACCCUGCCAAGGUCCCCGAUGGCAAGGAAUAAGGCAAAGGAGGAAGCUACGGAGAAGGGCAAGGGAGGCUGAGGUUUCCUCCUCAUGGUAAUGAAAUGCAGCCCACAUACCCCAACGCUGGCAAGAGAAGAGGAGAGCAAGUCAGAAGUUAAGGAAGUAGAGAAGUCAGACCAAGUACAAGAGUCAGAACAGAGGAGCAGGAAAUAAAGCAGUGGACUGUGUGCCUGAAAAGAGGAGACAGAGCCUGCAGCCUGUGAAAGGAUUAGCAGAAUAAAAGGAGUUUCAGUUUAGAGCAACAACAAAAUCCUAUCAUAGAGGCUUUAACUUCUUCUUUGAAAUAAACACACUGUAACAGUGUUACUCAAAUAAAACCAAAUAAAACCAUGUACUAGCA